CAUACUAAGCAAAUUCUAAAAGGAACAUGGGAGUUUAAAGGAUUGCGCAACACCUAGAUGGCUCUGCUGGCUCUUUUACCUGUUUCAGUUCGUCCUCCUCAUCCUUGAUUUUUAUGGAAGGACGACGGCCUUUGCAUUUCGCGAUUCUUGGAGGAGAAAAAAAUGUCUACCUCGACCCGCAACGAAGCAGAAAAAGGAGUUCAAGCUCAGGUUCCAACUUGGAACCACUGGAUAACCUUUUGAAGAUAACUGGUGAACUCUACUCCCUCGCAAGAGAAUGCUUUUUAUAAUUGAAGAAGCAUCUACAUUAACUAUGUAACGUUUCUUGCCGACCCACCUGUCUCUGCCUCUUCCGUCGUCGUCUUUGAAGCCAACGUCAACACUUCUAUGGAGUCAAUGGUUGAACCUUUCCUGCCCAGCAGUUGCUAAUUGUUAAGGAGGACAGUGGUUUAGUGGAAGACACUGAUUCAAUUUCUUGUUCUUUCACGCAGCUGAUUUAGGUAAUUUCAGUGUUAAGUGUCAAUGAUAUACACAAUUUUUUUCAUGAGGAUAGUCUUUAAUUUAUUAAAUAUUGUUGGACUCGAUAAUGAUAGUCUGUUGUUGUUGUUUUCAGAAUCCAUAGGUUUUCAAAAAUUUCCAUGAGUGAAGGUCUUUCCACCACAAGCAAUAGUUGUCUAUUUAUGAUUAGCGAUUGGGAACAGGACUUCAGCCAUCGGAGUUGUAUCUAUGCCAUUUCGUAAUCUUAACUUUCAUACGAAUAAAUAAUUUUAAAGAA